rnacentral:rRNA from 1 species
UACGUAGGGUGCAGGCGUUAAUCGGAAUUACUGGGCGUAAAGCGUGCGCAGGCGGUUUCUUAAGUCAGAUGUGAAAGCCCCCGGGCUUAACCUGGGAACUGCGUUUGAAACUGGGAGACUUGAGUGUGGCAGAGGGGGGGUGGAAUUCCACGUGGUAGCAGUGAAAUGCGUAGAUAAUGUGGAGGAACACCAAUGGCGGAA